CCGCCCCCAAACUCUACCCCGUCCUUGACCCUCGCCUGUUAGAAGGGCGGAGAGGAGGCCGACAGCGUGGCGUUGCCCCAGGGCCUUCGAGCUCGCCCUCGCCUCCCGCUCCAGCAGGUGCGGCCUGCUCGGGCCUCCGCCGCCACCGCCGAUCCCCUUACAGCUCGUCUGGGCCUUGUCGCCCCUGACUCCGCAGCCGCUGGACCAGUUGGCCACGUGGUCGUCGUCUCCGCGCUCUGCGCCUUGCUCCCCCUCGGCCCAGCCCUCGGUGCCGGCCGCGGGUCUGUCCGCGGCCCCUCCGACCCGCCGCGGCCAGGGCGCGCGGCGCGGCGUCCCUGGGCGUCCCUGGGCGUCCUUGGGCGCGGCCGCACGCCCGGUGCCAGGUGCAGACCCUCCGCCCGAGAGUCGCGGCUGCUUCCCCUCCGGCGUCGUCUUCCAUCCACGCGCCCGCCUCGCCCUCCCGCCUUCCUCCCGCCGGCCCUGUGCUUUCAGCCCCCAGCCGGGACGGUGGCACCUGGCAGCGCUUCCAGCUAGCGGGGCUCCUGCCCGCCGCUUCCCUGCCAGGCUCGGGGCCCGGGUUAGCAGUCCCUCCCGAAGGAAGCCCCUCUUUCUCUCCGCUCCCCUGCGCUCCUUCCCAGCGGUCCCUCUAGCGUGGGUGUGCCCCAUACCCGGAUGCUCGGCUCCGUCUCAAGGCCACCUACGCGACACUUUGUGGCACAAGUUGUCCAAGGCACUACGUGGCUUCCCGUGCCUGCACUUGUUAAAUCCUACUGCUCCCAUCACCGUGGGUCCCUUUCCUCCCACAGCCCUCGUCACACGGGCCCUGUGGGUGGGUCUGUCCGGUUCACGUUGUCCUCUCUUGGCUUAGUGUGGUGCCUGGAAUAUAACAGGCGCUCAGAAGAGCUUUGGUGAAUACACGAUGGCGUAUUCCGGGUGAAUAUUCCUGGAGGACCUCUCUUGCAUAAAAUAGGAAGACCUUAUGAAAUAGGCUCUUUGAAAUGGGAUGAUCGGUUUAAUCUUUCAGAUUUCCACUGAGUGUAUCCAGCGCUUGAAUCCGUUUAUCGACUCCGUUAUCCGGGCUAACACCUAGAACGUGGCAUACUCUCUAUGCCCAACGUGGGGCUGGAACUCACGACCCUGAGAUCAAGAGUCGCAGGCGGUACCGACUGAGCCAGCCAGAUGCCACUCAUUCAAAUUCUUAAAAGACAGGAGCUGUGAUUCCUGGCAAGACUUUUUGGAAACAAGGAAAAAGGCAGAAGGGACACAGAAAAAGAAAAAAAAAAAGCAUUUCACAGGAUCCAGAAACAGAGAGCACCUCAAAUUUUAGCUUGUCUCCCAUUCCCAAACCCUCACUUUCUUAAUACCCUUGAGCUUGGUAUGCUGUAUCUGCAGGGCCAAGAAGUGAAAAUACAGAUUUAAACCCUAGUUAACAAGGUGGAUAUGGGGGACCCAGGUGAUUAGUCAUUUUCCCAAAUGAUUUCUAAUUUCAUAACAAGAUACAUCCAAAAGACUUUAUCAUCAGACUUCAUUUAUAAUCUCUAUCCUUUAUUUCUGUCCUCCUGGUGUUUUCCUUUCAUGACUGUCCUACAAGAAAGCAGAGUGAUGUGUGGCUUGUCUGGUUGCUAAGGAGAGGUCAGCCUGAGACCACAGCACCAGGGGCCCAGCCCCGGCUCUGGGUCCUCUCCACUCUCCCGUGCUCAGCUUCAGAGAACCAUGUUCUGCCACUUCAGAUAGCAUAUCAAAUUAUUUGAUUUCUCAGAAACUUAAUGACUUACUUGGAAGACAAAAGACAAAAAAAAAAGACAAAAUUCACCCGUGUUGUGUCUCUUCCAAAUUCCUCCCAUUCCCUUCGUUCCUAGCUGGAAAACACAAUAGCUACACUUGCUGGAGGCUGAAGAGGCACCAGACAGUGUUAAGUACUUCGCACAUCUUGUCUCUUACAAGGGGCUCACAGUUAGGGAAACUAAGGCAUGGAAUUAAGGACACAUCAUCGUUUUAUGAGAGAGGAAAUGGAGGCUCAGGACUUAGCAGACUUCCUCCAGGUCCACAGCAAGGCUGUGGUGGAGCGGAGACCCCUUACCCUGAUCCAGCCCCUUGCUUCCCCGAACCGUUGUGAAGACUUCCUCUCUGGGUGAGAAACGAUUUUUCCAAGUUACCAUCGAGCUGAAAACAACUUGCAGAAAGCAGUGGGGCCUUACAGAGCUGUUGCUAACGUUAACAGCAGCCCCACAGCGUAAGCGGAUUUCAGGAGUUCAUCUCCACCAGCCAUCACGACAGUUCUGGUGACAGAAAAUAUUCUUAGGUACCAGUGAGGUGCUGGCUCAGGAUGCUUCUGUGGAAGGCCGGAGCACGUCCUCAUCGUCAGAAGAGGUGAAUGUGUAACUGUACACGGCAGGAUGGAUGGACUGUCCAAGUGUGGUUAAGGAGCUUCGAUCGUGGGAUGGAUGGGGGAAUUAUUCUGGAUUAUCGUGGUGUGCCUCCAGUUUAAGGACAACGGUCCUAAUGAGCAACGGGGUGGGGAGGAGAGUGUCAGAGGGAUGCCAUGAGAGCAGAUGGCCACCCACUGCUGACCUUGAAGAGGAGAAGCAACCACGAGCUGAGGAACCCUUGAGAAGCUGCAAAAGCAAGGAAAUGAAUUGUAACCCAGUGACUCUGGUUCUGGAAUUUUGAACUCCAGGACUGUAAGAGAAUAAACGUGUGUUGUCUUGAGCCACCACGUUCGUGUUGUGGCAGCAGCCUUAGGAAACUAAUUCAACUCCCGUACCCACAUAACAAGAAAGAGCUCCCCUAGAGCAGUGGCUGGGAGAUACUUUUGAUUUGUCCCAGCAAACUUCCAUUUAAAAACUGUUCCCUCACCCACUACGGCUACCGUACUGGCUAGUGAGCAGAAGAACUCCACAAUCAUAUUGAAAAUGUACAAAAUAACAAUAGAAUGAGAACUAGCCUUCAUUAAAAGACCAAAACAACACCAACAAUAGUAAAAAUUUUACAAAUAAUAAGAGCAAUCAAAAGACAACCAAGUCAAACCAACACAUAUGAUUCAACAAGAACAACUUCUCAUCUAGGAAAUUUGGGGACUCCAAUGAUGUGCAUAUGCCCACACACAAAGAGGAAGUUUGCGAUGUUGCCAAGCACUAUGUGGAGUCAGACGCUCAGUGACCUCAUGAUGUGCUCAUUUUGGUUUAUGAACAUCCAAUUUUAUUAACCCUUAAUAACUCACUAGUAGGUUACUCAGAAUUAGCACUUGCCCAUAUGAAAGAUUAGAGCCUUUGAACCCUUAAGAACUGAGAAACGGCCCUUGGUUUGGGAAUGCUUCUAAGACAAACAGUAAAGAGACCAACGUUUGAGAAAUGGCUCACAGUCAUUCUUCCUGCAAGUUUCGUAUAAUGAAUUGGAGAGGGCAUGUCCGUUGUGUGCAGAAGAUGAGGAACUCUGGAGAGCGUUGAGGGCAGGUGAAAGAAUUUCCAAGUUUGGUUCCUGAGAGAUGACCCCAUUCAUGACAUAGGUCAUUGUACAUUGGUUCUUUUUCUUGCAACACCUUGGAGUGAACUUUUUGCAUUCAUCUCUACAUGUUUCAAAAUGUGUUUCUGGAAGAUAAAGAGCACAUAUUAUCACAGCUCACACAAGUAACGAGUUUUGCCACCUAAUCUAGGCAUCAGAGUUACCCCACCAGGUAAAAAUAACGUGGUUGUGAUGUUAUCUUUUUGAAAAAUUCUGUAGAAAACUGAUAUCUGAUGUUUCAAAUGUUGAUGUGGGAGCCGCUGAAUCCCCGGAGUGGAAGGUCCCUGCAGGAGGUGGAGAUCAAACCCUUGAAUGUUUGAAUCCUGUCUCCCCAGCAUCAUGAAGAAUUUCCUGUCUUCCCAAUUUCCUUCAGUUAAUUUUCAUCACAGGAUUUCAAGCGUCUUCAUGCCUCGGUCCUCUGGGAUACCCCCAUGUUCUCUUUCAGAUUGUGACCUGCAGUAUUCUAGAUAUGAAACGAGGUCUCCCCAGUAGCACCAUAACCAAACCGUCUGCUGUUUUUCUCUUUUGAUUGCCACAUUUAUUCCACAAAAAUUUAUUGGGGAUGGACCAUGUGAGCAAAACACAUGAAAAUCCUGCUCUCAUGGAGUUCCCACCCCAUGACCUGUAUCACUGACUUAGAAAUGUAGACGUCCUAAAUUUGCUUCGAACUUCUUCAGAAUUUACUCAGCCAGGUUCCUGGCAGCUUCACACCCCCUGUAAGCGGCUGGCUGUCCCUGUGGCGCUUGCUGCUACUCCAUGUGGAAGGUGUUUCUAAAGUUUCCGUAGCUUACCCUGGGUCCGAGCAGCCGCUGGGUUGCGGUACAAAGAUCUUUAAAUGAAAACAUUUUUAUCCACUUCUCACGUUUAACGCUUUUUUUGUCAUUUAACACGCAGUUAUUUACUAUUUCCUUUUUUCCCCUGUAAACAGUAACGUCAAAUGAAAAUGAACAGAAGUAGGAUAAGGUCUCUUAGAACACAAAGCAACAACGAAAAGCCAAAAGACACAACCUUGGCCCUGGGAGAGUAGUGAAAAGAAGGAAUCACACACAAAGGCGGGAACCUCGCGAUCGCUUUGUAGUCUGUUGCCAAAGUGACAGCCACACACUCUGGAGGACGGUUAUUAAGAAGCGGAGUGCCCGGCUCUCUCCAGUUGCUGUGGUCGCCGCGGCCCCCAAGCAGAUGACCCUCCUCCUGACGAACCUUCAGCAGACAGUCCCGGAAUAGCCUGACGCCACCUCAGUGCGUCACCACGUAGGCAUUUUAUCAUCUCCCAUGAUCACGGGAAGAACGUAUGUCUUUGCUGUUUGCUUUAGAGUCGAUUUUCCGCCCCUUGCACCUGUUGUUUCGUGAAGGGCUCUGACCAGUAGAAUGCACAAGUGGUGUCUGGGACGCCCGAGGCCAGGUCUCGAGACCCCGACGCUCUGCUGUGUGUCAGAGGGGAGUCAGCCCCUGGGGAAGAGGCUGGGGCCGACCUGCUGUGGGGAGAGGCCCAGACACAGCCCCACGCCGGCCGGAGCGGUAGCCACGCGUGACUCCUGAGUGCUUGUCGUGGGACUGUAACUGAGAAACAGAAUCUUUUUUAACGGUUUUGAUCCGUAUUGUUUUCGAUGUAAAUAGCCACAUGUGGCUAGCACUUCCUGCAGUGGACAGCGCUGUCCCGGCGGAAACAGGCCACGUGGACGCAGAGGCCACACGAACGGGAAUGGAGGUGUCCCACUGACGGCCAGCACCGUGGCGCCAGACGGGGGAGGCCCCCAGCCCUGGCUGAGCCCCGCCAGCCACCAGCGUGUGGAGCAGAGACAAGCCGUCCCUGCUAACCCUUGCCCAGCUCCCUGACCUGCAGCAGCAUGAGCAAGAAGGUGGUCUUCAGCCAUUAAAUUUGAGGUGGCUUGUCACGGGGCCAUGGAGGUGGCCAGUAGGUGACUGGUGGAGACAUGGUGUCGAGAAGGGCCCGCCAUCCAGUGAGGGCCUGCCACGAGCCUUUCCAGUCAAGUGAUGGUAACUGUUACUACGCCGAAGUGUUGACUGCACUAGGUCCCAGUGGAAGAAAUUAAGGUGCUCGAAGUAGAAUGGGCAAGGAGAAACCAUUCUCACUGAGUAAGGACGAGGGUCUUCAGGUGCACCGCUGCUCAGAAAAAUCCCUGUGGUCCCGCGGAGGAACAAGGCAGAACAAGGAUGUCUGGGUCCUGCCACUGCAUUUGAGGGGCUCUUCCUUGGACUCAGCAGAACCUGUGAGUCCUGCCCCCUCCUACUCCCCACAGGACACCCUCCUGUUCUGUUCUGUUUCGUUUUCCCUCAAAGACAGACCGUCAUAACUCCUGGCCUUGGUUUUCAGCGUAGCCCACUGAAGGCCAGAGGGCGUGGCGGGAGAGCGGGACUGAGCAAGGAUCGGUUACAGCUGUUGGCCUCCUGACUGCUCUGAGAAGCACGGGUUUCUACCUCCCACCCCCCUUGCCGCUGAGGUGCCGACUCCGCAUCCUAUAGAUUCCCCUGGUGUCCCUGGUCACAUGGAAUUGAUACUCCUUACCUCUACUGUCGUUUACUGCCCUGAUGCUGCAUUAAUUACAUCUGCAGGAUCAAGGCGGGCCCGUGAAUUAUUAAUGAAAGGGAUCAUUAUACCUGAGUGGAAUUUUUCCCUCCUCACCAUCCUCAUGCUGCAUUUCCGAAAGUCCAUCAGCUGACCUCUACACCCUUUCUUAAGUCUGUGCUGUUUUGGUGAGGAUGUACUUGGGGAACAGAUGAGAAACACCUUGGGGAACAGAUGAGAAAUGGUACCCUCUCUCAAUUGGCCAGGUGAAAAAAUAGCAAAGUUGUACUCUGCAUAAUGUGUGACACAUUAUUUAGGGAUGGAUACAUAUCCCACAGUAGGAGAUUAUUGAGAAGAUUUUGAAUUUUGUUCAUCCAAAGAUUUACACAUUUUUCUGCAUUGCAUUUUGUGCAAAUAAACUAUUCAAUAGACCUGAGAUUCCUUGUAGACUGCUAAGAGCCCUCACCCAUUUUAGAGCUGUGCUAGGGUCCUGGGAUCUGGCUUGUCUGACCCCCUGCUCAUGCAUGUGCAGGGGAGUGGGCUUCAUUCUCUGUCUGGCAUCAGCCACAGGAGCUGAGCUUGUACUCGAGAGCUGUGGGUCAGGGAGCGAAAGGGAAUUCUCAUCUGCACGGGGCAGAUGUGUAAGUCAAGGCGAGGGGAAAGAAGGGAGAAGAGGAGAAAGACAAAAAUGGGGCUAAAAACCCAACCUGGAAAAACGGGCAGAAGCAGGAGGAUACUCAGGAAGUUCAAGGAGGACGGGGAACACAUCUGAUUUUCUUGCUGUUAUUUCUCCACGCCUACUACGGUGAUGACACACGUCGGCAGGACAAGAAGUAGCUGUUGAAGGACUAGAUUACUAAAUGAGAAGCUCGUGGUUGAACCUAGGAAGAAAUAUUUAGGGCCAAGUCCAAGCUACACUGUGCAUUGGCAGUGUUCUGCUUUGUCCCAUCCUUCCCCCUCUGCCGAGGUAGAAGUGGUACAUCUUAAGAUUUAAAAUUGUAUCUCUAAUUGUAGGAUUUGAGACUGGUAGCAUGGUGAAGGGUUAGGGGAGGUUGGUCCUGCUGAAAUGAAGCAAGAAAAAAGAGUGGCAGGAGACACGGACGUUUAUUGAGCAUUUCCCAUCGGCAAGCGCUGUGUCGAGCACGUCCCACACAUUGUUUGGUUUAAUUCUCACAACAACAUUUUGCGGGAGGUACAACCACUACCCCGGUGUUCCUGACAAAGACGCUGGGGCACAGGACGUUGAAGUGACUUCGUCCGGCUGCUUUCAAAGCAGAGCCCCGAGCGGGCCUCUCCCCUUCCACCACUGUACGUUUCCCGACUUGCUUGCUGCUAGGAAGCGUUUGCAGUGCUUAUUGAAAAUGUGAGUCCCCAGGACCCGAACCUGGAGCUUACUAAGUCAAAAUAACCACUGGGUCUUUAACUGGCACCCGAGAUGACUGGUUUUUUGAAGCUACUUUGGGGAACACUGCGGACACUGGACGUUCCCGGUAGACACUGCAUUACUAAAAUUACUGGUUAGAGCUUCACUGUGUCACUUAUCCACAGAAGAAAUUUAGAUGCUUUGAACUGUUGAUAAUUUUCUUUGUAAAAAUUCCUAGAAACGAGUAUAUAUUAGUUUGUGAUUGUAAGAGGAACGUGAACUGUAUUUAGAUGGAAGAAUACUAUGGUAACAUUUUAUUCCCAUUAGGAAUAGAUACAAGGUGAAUACUAUUUGUAAAAGAAACAAAAAAUUUACUGAUUUGUUUAAAGGUUGUUUAAAAAAGAUCUAUAAAUAGUUUGAAUUCCAAUUAAUGUUUCAUAACAUAAAACGGUGGUUAAUCUCUAAAAGGAAACAUUAGGCUAAUUGGAUUUUUAAAUCUGAAAAGCCCACAGGGAUAACCUUUUCUUGAUUAAAAAAUUUAGCUCAUUUUACAGCAUACAUUUUGGUCAGGGUGAGGGAAGGGUAAUUAACUUCCCAUGGAAGAUUCACUAAUUAACACUAGAGCAGAAUCACACUACACAAGACUUGAACUUGGAGGAAAUGCAAAAGUAUUUAUCAGGUGCAGUGCAGUGGAAUCUAACAAAAUACUAGGAUGAUCUGUUUAAUAUUAAUGCCUAAGUUCUAUUUUAAGAUAGGUUCCACAGAUUUCUUAAGUUUUUUCAUGAAUAUUAAGUUCGCUAUCUUGGGUCUAGUUUCAUCAAGCUUUGUGGAAGUCUUUAAGAUUGCAAAAUUUAAUAAGUGCAAACAGAUUUUAUCCUGGAAACAUGGGUUUUAUACAAGUAUUUAAAAAUACAGCCUGCAGGGGCACCUGGGUGGCUCAGUUGGUUAAGCGACUGCCUUCGGCUCAGGUCAUGAUCCUGGAGUCCCGGGAUCGAGUCCCGCAUCGGGCUCCCUGCUCGGCAGGGAGUCUGCUUCUCCCUCUGACCCUCCCCCUCUCAUGCUCUCUGUCUCCCAUUCUCUCUCUCGGAUAAAUAAAUAAAACCUUUAAAAAAAAAUAAAAUAAAAAUAAAAAUACAGCCUGCAGUUUUUAAUUAAUUAAGGCUCAUUAAGUAGAUUGGUUUAGUGCCACAUUGCCUAAAAAUCCAGUAUUUCGUAGUUUCAAAAACUUCAGAGGACUUUAUAAACAUUAUUUUGACUCUAUAGUCAUAGUGAAAGUAGUAUUACUUUUUAGGAUUAUUAUUUUUUUCUGUAAAAUAUACAUAUAAGUCAGUUAAAAUCUGUACAUUGGCUAAAUUGCUACAAGUAGUUUUUGCUGGAACAUAUUGCAUGCUUCAUAUUGUAAAUGCAUGAGAGCCUGUAGCAGAGUAGUUAGUAACUCUUCGUGAUUGGAAAGGGGAUGAACUGCUAGUUUAAAUGUUCUUUGCAGUUUAUUUUCUGUAAAUAUGGAGAUUACAUUUUGUCACUGAGGGGCUUUUCUCUUUUUUUUUUCCUAUGGGAGGAGCGGGGAGAGCAAAUUCAGAUAGAAAUAGAAUUUGGGGAAAGAACUUCAAAUGGCAGUACAUCAGACUGAGAUUGUUAAUCAUUCUGUUUCAUGACAUAAGAACAAAGCUUCCCUGGGGGCCCUUUGAGUAUUAAAAUGUUGACCAAGAGAGGAGACCUCCUAUUUGGGGGCAGCAAACCUGAUACCUGGUGGCAAGCUAAUUCCCUAGUGAUACUUUUGUUUCUUUUCUUUCCUUUUUCUUUUUUCUUUCUUUCUUUCUUUUUUUUUUUUUUGUGAGAAAGAGAGCGAGCAAGCAGGGGGCAGAGUAGUGGAGGGGCAGAGGGAGAGGAAGAGAGAGAAUCUUCAGCAGACUCCACGCUGAGCACAGAGCCUGACGUGGGGCUUGAUCUCAUGACCCCAAGAUCGUGACCUGAGCCGAGACCAGGAGUCAGACGCUUAACCAACUGAGACACCCAGGCUCUCCUACCUUUACGUUUCUAGUAAGUUUUGGAAAGUCUUCUGUGUAGGGGAUUAAAGAGAAGGAAAGGAAUCCAGGUUUGAGGGCAAAGAAGACGAAGGCAGAUGGGGAAUUGGAGGCAAGAAGAGAAUGUCUGGAGCGGUAGGUCUGGACCAGUGGUUAACAAGGGAGUGCCAGAGAGCCUUAGAAAUUUGGAGAAAGCAGCUGGCCUUACGCAGUCCUGUGGGAUAGGGACGGACUUGGUUUUUCAAGGGUUGGAUUUCUGAGGAGGAACUCUGUUUCCACCUGGACAGCAGUCCAGAGAGGGACCUGGGAGCCAAGUUCAAGGUCAUUAGUAAACUACAGCUCACCACACAGGAAAGCCAGAGAAUGAAGGAAAAUGGGCCUGUGCAGAAAGAGGAAAAAUGACAGGAAGUGGAAUUGAGAGAUCUGUGCAGUAUAAACAUGUGAACAGUCUUUCCAUGGUACCACGCAGUCUCUCAUGCUUCGGACCCCGUUACUAGCUUCCCCCAGGCAUCUGGGCUUGUGAGCUCAGGGGGGAGGCUUGUUGCCCAGAAGCUGGCUGGGGCAUGUGUGCCUCGUGUCCAGGGGUCAGGGGUGGCCAGGUGCGUGGCCCUGCAUAUCCAGCUUGCUUCUGCGGCUGUCAUGUGGCUCUCGGACCUUUGGUCUGCUCUUUCUGAGCUCCCUUAGGGCCCGGGGGAUCUCUCACACACCUGUGACUCCUCUGAAGUCUAAGGGGUGUUGUGUUCUCUCAGACGGGGGUGUCUGCCUUGAAGUGUGUGCAGGACCCGUUCUCAAGCUACAGAGGCCCCUUCGGGCCCUCCCCCCAAACUUCCUCCACCACACUCUGGAAUCCUGACACUCAUCAGAGCACUCAGGGCAUCUGGGGGAGGGAGGUGGCAAGAAAA